rnacentral:rRNA from 1 species
CCUACGGGUGGCAGCAGUGAGGAAUAUUGGUCAAUGGGCGCAAGCCUGAACCAGCCAAGUCGCGUGAGGGAAGACGGCCCUACGGGUUGUAAACCUCUUUUGCCGGGGAGCAAGCCUGAGCACGUGUGCCCAGGCGGAGAGUACCCGGAGAAAAAGCAUCGGCUAACUCCGUGCCAGCAGCCGCGGUAAUACGGAGGAUGCGAGCGUUAUCCGGAUUUAUUGGGUUUAAAGGGAGCGUAGGCCGGUCUUUAAGCGUGCCGUGAAAUUUUGUGGCUCAACCAUGAGAGUGCGGCGCGAACUGGAGACCUUGAGUGCGCGGAAGGCAGGCGGAAUUCGUGGUGUAGCGGUGAAAUGCUUAGAUAUCACGAAGAACUCCGAUUGCGAAGGCAGCUCACUGGACUGCAACUGACACUGAGGCUCGAAAGUGUGGGUAUCAAACAGGAUUAGAUACCCCAGUAGUC